rnacentral:rRNA from 1 species
AUUGAACGCUGGCGGCAGGCCUAACACAUGCAAGUCGAACGAGUGGCGGACGGGUGAGUAAUGUCUGGGAAACUGCCUGAUGGAGGGGGAUAACAACUGGAAACGGUAGCUAAUACCGCAUACCAUCAGAUGUGCCCAGAUGGGGUUAGCUAGUAGGUGGGGUAACGGCUCACCUAGGCGACGAUCCCUAGCUGGUCUGAGAGGAUGACCAGCAACACUGGAACUGCGACACGGUCCAGACUCCUACGGGGGGCAGCGGUGGGGAAUAUUGCACAAUGGGCGCAAGCCUGAUGCAGCCAUGCCGCGUGUAUGAAGAAGGCCUUCGGGUUGAAAAGUACUUUCAGCGGGGAGGCGUUACCCGCAGAAGACGCACCGGCUAACUCCGUGCCGGCCGCCGCGGUAAUC